rnacentral:rRNA from 1 species
GGUUAAGCGACUAAGCGUACACGGUGGAUGCCCUGGCAGUCAGAGGCGAUGAAGGACGUGCUAAUCUGCGAAAAGCGCCGGCGAGGUGAUAUGAACCUUUGACCCGGCGAUGUCCGAAUGGGGAAACCCAGUGUGUUCCGACACACUAUCGUUAACUGAAUACAUAGGUUAACGAGGCGAACCGGGGGAACUGAAACAUCUAAGUACCCCGAGGAAAAGAAAUCAACCGAGAUUCCCCCAGUAGCGGCGAGCGAACGGGGAGCAGCCC